CCAAGCAAUCAACAAGAUCGGUGGACCAGGUCUUACUGUUGAAAUUGACGAGAGCCUCGUAGCAAAAAGAAAAAGCAACCAAGGAAGAGUCCCACGACUAGGGGAGAGACAAAUUUGGGUAUUCGGUGGAAUCUGUCGUGAAACAAAGAAAUCCUUUGUAGUUCUUGUGCGCCGUCGAGACCGAGAAACCCUAUUCGCCAUCAUCAGCCAUUUCAUCGAGCAAGGCUCGAUCAUCAUGUCAGAUUGCUGGGCAGCUUAUGGAGGAGUUGAUUUGCUUCUAAGUGGCACACACCAAACUGUAAACCACAGCCAAAACUUUGUUAGCCCCAGAGAUAGAUUGGUUCACACCAACACCGUGGAAAGAUUUUGGAGGGCGGUCAAGGACAGCAUUUCCAGUUUCCAAUUGACCGUUUUGGAGUCUCACUUGCUGCGGGCAUGUUACUUCCUCAAUUACAUGGUGAAUGAUGAUGGCUCAAAAAUAGUCAACAGUGGUCAGCGAUUUGAGGUCAUUUUGGAGACCGUCAAAGAGGUUUUCCCAGGAUACCCGAGCAAUCCUAUCGAAUACCCGCAGCGCAUUUUGAUCAGAGAAGAUGCGCAUCCAUUUCCUGAGUUGGAUUCGGUAGUUUUGGAGGUGAUUUCACAAGGAGCUCAGCAGCAAACGCCACAACUGACUCCUGGAAUUGCACCAAAUCCGGCUAUGCUCAUUCCACCUAAUAACAUGGGUUUGGCAACCUCAAGAAACAGGCCGCAAAUCCAAAGUGCUUCAUGGCUCAUGAUUGAACAGGCUUCUUCCACCAUUCUUUUAGCUUUAUCCAAUAAUCCAGCUUGUUGCGAAAGCAAAAGAAGUUUGGAAGUAUUUUUAAUGAGAAAUGAUGCGAUUAACCUCUUAAUUAUUUAUAAUAUUUUUUUCAAUAGGCUGAACUAAGGCCUUUCAAAGUUUUUAUAGAAGAAAUGAUCACCAAACUCAGGGAGUGCGACACAGUGAUGAUGUCUUCGCAAUACAAUAGUGACAUUGCAGUUGGUCUGCAACAAAUGCUAGAGCCUGGCAUUCUUGAUGGAAUGACACCAAUCAAAACUUUGGGUAAAUAUUAAGGUGGUAUGUUACAGGGCAAUAAUUGAAAAUUAUUUUAAUAAUUGUUGGAAGCCAAAAGCAAUUGAUCGAUAAACAAUUUCCUAAACAAUUUUUGCAAUAAUCAAAAGGACGUUCUUACAGUACAAAUUCAAAUUUUGCCAAUUUUCUACAAAAUUUACAGUACUUGAACAUAUUUUCUUGGCAUAUUCCGAUUCCUCUCGUCGAGAUCUGUCCAACGGUGUAUGCCACUUAUUGGGGAAACUCUUGGUUUUGAAAUAAAAUCGGAUUUCAAGUAAGGCUACAGCACUUACCAUUUGAAAAGCGCGGUAACUUUCCAGCAAAUAUUCUCAGAAUAAUACAGUGCUUUUAAGGUCGAUUUAGGCUUGAACUAAAUCCUAUGGGAUGAGUUUAUGCACUGGCAAUAACAAGCAUUUUCCAAGCUUUUGCAAUAUCAUUCCUCUUUAUCAGAAUGCAGUGAAAUACUGUAUAUAUUUUAUUUUAACACAUAAUACAGGAGCUGGCGACUGCUUCUACAGCGCCCUUUCAUUGUCCCUCAUUGGCCUGAACAGCAAUGUCUGCACUAUGAGAGUUGCUGCAAUUUUUGUGCUUGCAAGGUACUUCUACUCUUUCAACUCUCAAGCCAUGAGGGCAACAAUCGCAGUGCAUCACGGGCCCAGAGGUCCUUCAAGUUUGGCAAUGGCUGUAGCAGCCUCUGGUUCCUUAAACACUCAAGGAAACUUUUUAGCUUACCAGCCAACCCUUUGCCAGAACUUUCACUUCGCAAGCUCGGCAGUAAUUCUCGUGGCGUCCAUUGCUCUGAAAAAGCUGAUAUAUCUCUAUCAGGACCUUCACAACCUUACAAUCAGACUUCCAACCCUUGAAGACUUUUUGACGGACUUCGAGAAUGAUAGACAAAGACUUCAAAGAAACAAAAGAUAUUCAAUGAGCCUCGCUGUCACAGGCUCACAAACAUACGCUGACCCAGUGAGGAUUUAUCUUCAAGACGAACAUUUUAUCAGUCUCCUUCCAAGUCAAGAUUUAAAUUCGGUUGACCUUAAACCUGAAACCAGAAUUUCUCUCAAUGCAAACUUGCUCCAGCGAGAUUUGUAAAGUUUAAUCUUAAAGUGGAUUUGUUUUUACAUAACCAAAUCGAAUUAAAACAUUGUUUUUUUGAAUUUUUAAAAAAAAUUCCAUUUUUGUUUUUUUGCCUCGACUAAAUAUUUUCGAUUAGAC